CGACUUUUAGUUUGCCCCCCCGAAACUAAGUGAGCUACUUUAAAGCAGCUGUUAGAGCUAACCCGUCUCUGUCGCAAAAGAGUGGGACGACUUUUAAGUAGAGGUGAUAAACCUACCGAACUUAUAGAUAGCUGGUUUUUUAAGAAAAGAAUUUUAGUUCAGCCCCAAGCCUUUUAUUAAAUAAAAAAUUUCCUCUGGGCCUGGGAGUUAUUCAAGUAAGGCACAGCUUAUUUGAAACAGGACACAACCUAGAACAUAGGGUAAGCAGUUAAAUUAUCUAGCAAGUGGGCCUAAAAGCAGCCACCUUCUGAAAAGCGUCAAAGCUUAAUAACAAUAAUUUACUUAAUAACCCCAACAACUCCGAACCCGCACGCACUAUUAAAAAACCCCAUAAAAUUAUGGGAGCUAUUAUGCUAGAACGAGUAACAAGAAAAUGACUUUCUCCAAAAUGUAAGCUUCAGCCACAAUAGACAAACUACCGGCAAUCAACGCCUCUGAGCUAACUAUAGCAACAUAACAAGAAAACCCU
rnacentral:rRNA from 1 species